GGCGGCGUGCUUAACACAUGCAAGUCGAGCGGUAAGGCCCUUUCGGGGGUACACGAGCGGCGAACGGGUGAGUAACACGUGGGUGACCUGCCCCGCACUUCGGGAUAAGCCUGGGAAACUGGGUCUAAUACCGGAUGUUACACAUGGUCUCGCAUGGGGUUGUGUGGAAAGUUUUUUCGGUGUGGGAUGGGCCCGCGGCCUAUCAGCUUGUUGGUGGGGUGAUGGCCUACCAAGGCGACGACGGGUAGCCGGCCUGAGAGGGCGACCGGCCACACUGGGACUGAGAUACGGCCCAGACUCCUACGGGAGGCAGCAGUGGGGAAUAUUGCGCAAUGGGCGGAAGCCUGACGCAGCGACGCCGCGUGGGGGAUGACGGCCUUCGGGUUGUAAACCUCUUUCGCUAUCGACGAAGCCCCUUGGGGUGACGGUAGGUAGAGAAGAAGCACCGGCCAACUACGUGCCAGCAGCCGCGGUAACACGUAGGGUGCGAGCGUUGUCCGGAAUUAUUGGGCGUAAAGAGCUCGUAGGCGGUGUGUCGCGUCGGCCGUGAAAACCUACAGCUUAACUGUGGGCGUGCGGUCGAUACGGGCAUCACUGGAGUUCGGCAGGGGAGACUGGAAUUCCUGGUGUAGCGGUGAAAUGCGCAGAUAUCAGGAGGAACACCGGUGGCGAAGGCGGGUCUCUGGGCCGAUACUGACGCUGAGGAGCGAAAGCGUGGGGAGCGAACAGGAUUAGAUACCCUGGUAGUCCACGCCGUAAACGUUGGGCGCUAGGUGUGGGGAUCAUUCCACGGUCUCUGUGCCGCAGCUAACGCAUUAAGCGCCCCGCCUGGGGAGUACGGCCGCAAGGCUAAAACUCAAAGGAAUUGACGGGGGCCC
rnacentral:rRNA from 1 species